GCGGGGCUGGGAGCGGCCGGGCAGCACCUGGGAAAGCGCGAUCCUGGCGGGAUGCCUGGCACGGCCCGGCUGCCACAGGGGCGUUCCGCCUCGCCCCGGGCUCGCAGCAGGGCAGGGGAAAUAAGGGAACACUUCCCAAGGGAUGAGGCAGAUCCUGAGCCCCUGGAUCCCCUCCUGCAGUGCCCAAGGCCAGGCUGGAGCAAUUUAAGAUAGGGAAAGGUGGAAUGGGAUGAGCUUUAAGCCUCUUAAAUCAAACCUAACCCGGGCUGCCGAGGGAAAUCCGGAGCUGCUCGGGGCAAGAGUUAAAACGUGUUAAGCACCGAGAUCCAGGCCAGAUGUGGAACUCUCCGGGGCCACCACGGGGCUUUGAGCCGCUGGUUUGACACCUCUGCUUUCGACAUUAAAAGUCCCAGCGGGGAGGAAAUCCUGCUGGCCUGAGUUAUGAGCUAUUUACCGAGGGGGGCAGCCCUUGAAAGGACUCCCAAUAAAACCUGGAAUAAGAGUAAAUUAUUAGCAUAGGCUGGGAAAAGAGGUUUAUUUUUUAAGGCAGCUGGGUUUAUGGAAUUUUUUAUUUUAUUUUAUUUUUUUUUUCUGCAGCGCUGGCUGAAGAUAAAAAUCCUCCUGGCUCUGAGGGAUAAAGGGAAUGCUGAAAGUGUGUGAGAGCUCCAGGUCCCGUUUGGAAAAGCACUCACAGGCAAUAAACCCCUGCUCAGCUGCUGGCGUGGGACAGCCGAGGCUUCUCCCCGCCCCGACUCAGAUGUGGGGAGGAAAAUUCAGGAAUUAGUGGCUGGAUGCUGCAAGUGCCCAUCAGGAAUCUCCCCCUCUCUCUGCUCCUCUCUGUUCCCAGGUUUUCCCGUGGCUCAGGGAAGUGCUGGGAUCCCUGGAAAUGCCAAAAAAUGUGUGGAUGCAGCUUCAGGGGUUUGAUUUCCUCGCUUGUUUGUUUGUUUUCCUCCCUGCUCGGUGUCAGAGCAGCUCCAGGGCUCGUUCUGAGGCUGACAGGACUUAAGGACGGGGUUUUUCUGCUGUAGAGAAAUCCUCUUUUCACCAGAAAGGACACAGCCAGUGCUGGCUGGGGACCCAAAGGUGCCACAGGCUGGAGAUCCAAAGGUGACAAAGGGAGAGGAGAGGCAGCUCCUCCAUCCCUCUCCUCCCUGGAGAUCCCUCCUGAGGCUGCUGGGAAGGGCUCCAGGGAGCAGAGAACUCCUACAAACACCCGGGGGGCAGAUGGCCUGGGGGGGUCUGCUCACAAAGAAGUACAAAUAAAGGUGUCCCAGGUGUCCCAGGCUGCCCCAGGAUUCUCAGUAAUGUCCCAGUGUUGUCCCGGGGCAGUCCCAGGAUUCUCCCAGUGCUGUCCCAGGAUUCUCCCAGUGAUGUCCCAGGGUUGUCCCAGGAUUCUCUCGGGUGUCCCAGGGCUGUCCCAGAACUGUCCUAGGAUUGUCCCAGCACCGUCCCAGCACUGUCCCAGGGCUGUCCCAGGAUUCUCCCCUUGAUGUCCCAGGAUUAUCCCAGCGCUGUCCCAGGAUUCUCCCAGCACUGUCCCAGGACUGUCCCAGGAUUCUCCCAGCACUGUCCCAGCACUGUCCCGGGCUGUCCCGGGCUGUCCCGGGGCUGUCCCCCUCCUGAGUCACCCCGGCCCCGGGCACACUCCCUGCCGUGCCGUGCCGUGCCGUGCCGUGCCGUGCCGUGCCGUGCCGUGCCGUGCCGUGCCCGAGGUUCCCAUGGCCAGCAGCCUCCCUGUGCCCCUCCUGCCCGAGCCCGGACCUGCCGGGCUGGCCCAGCCGGUCUCUCUCAGGUGUGGCCGCGUUAUUUGCUCGCUGAUUACCGGAAUAAAACCAUCAUUAACUGCGGCUGCCGCCCCGCCGGGCGUGUGCCGCCCGUCUGCAGCCGGCCCCUGCUGCCACCCCGGCCCUGCCACCCCCGGGGCUGCAUCCCUGCUCACAGGGCACCUCCCAGCCCACGUUUCCCAGGUUUGUGCCUUAUCCAUUCCCGGGAGUGGGAAGGGAAAGAAAAAGAGGAAGGAUGGGGUUUGGAGAGUGCCCAGAACUCAGCACUGGCUCCAUCUCUUCGUAAGAAAAGG